CGGAGUAUGUAACUUAUCAAAUCCCCUACAUGGAUGUCAACAAACACGCCUUCAAAGUGACAAAAAGGGGCACGUGUAAUUUCACAAGGGAAAUGAUAAAGCAGGAAGACAUACACCCCGACAUGUGAAAUCUCCCUUGUGUUUCAAUGUUUUCCGAUAAAUGUUGGUUUUUUUUUUUUGAAACUCUAAUUUACACAUUACAUUACGGCAAAUCGCCGGAUACCAGUACAGAUACAAACUCAAGAACUUGGCUCAUUAGCAUAGAAGAGCCAGAUUCAAGGACAAAUGCUCCAUAGGUUGCUAGACUGUCUGCUAGUUUAUUACAAUUUCUAUUACAAACAGCUUUGUUCGUUUAGGUUUAUCAGCUGUAUCUGUCAGUCAUUCAACAAUAUUUUUUUCUUACAGAACUUAAAAUGCAUGAAGUCUCUUAUCUGUCUAAUUAUAGAAACAAUAGAGCUUCGAUCAAUCAGCAUAGAGUUAAGAGCAUCGGCAAGAACAGUUGUAUUGGUCUCCAAAAUGAUUUUCGCCAUACCCAAUUGUGCUGCAUGUUGGAGGCCUUUGUAAGUGGCGAUAGCUUCAGUAUGAAUCACUGAUGCUGCAAAAGAGAUAUUUCCAGCUCCAGAUGCAAGCACUUCUCCAUUUGCAUUCCUUAUAACAAAACCCCAUCCUCCUGUUCUAGAAUCUG
rnacentral:lncRNA from 1 species